rnacentral:snRNA from 1 species
UCCCUUAGUAACGGCGAG